UUUACUGGGUAACUAGUGAUUGCAUUUGUCUUGUAGCUACCAGCUCACAUAUGAACCCCAAUAUCAAACUGAGGUUUUUAUUUUAUGCAGGCCUCUCGAGUUGAACUGGAUGUGGCUUCUCCUCGAGAGGUUGUUCCCUUUGUCUUUAGCUCUCAUUUAUAGACAAGGCUGCAGCAUACUUUAAUUAUAGAUGAGUCAUGAUCAGCUUUCCACCGUCAAA